rnacentral:misc_RNA from 1 species
CAGAGUUGCAAAACUCCCUAAACCAUUGUGAACGUUACCUUCAAACCGUUGCUUCGGCGGGCGGCCCGGGUCCGCCCGGUGCCCCCUGGCCCCCUAGCGGGGCGCCCGCCGGAGGAAACCCAACUCUUGAUUAUUAUGGCCUCUCUGAGUCUUCUGUACUGAAUAAGUCA